GGUUUGCUCAUGACAUCCCAGGGAUCCUCCCCUCCCGGCGAGCGUCAAAGUCACGCCACUUCACACAACUUAUAAAUGAAAUGCACACUUCUGUUCACGGCAAAGAAGAAGUUCUCCACACAGGGACGGUCAUCUUGGCAAAGAGCUUCACUUGUGUGAUUGGCCCCACAGGAGUGUGUGUGGCCUAAGGUGGAGCCGUCAGCAGAGCGAGUCCUUUUGCAGAGACGGAAUCAUGCAGGGAAACGCAUCUUCGCCUCUGAACUCAACCUCCCUCCCGACGCCACUCCCUCCCAACACCACCGCUGACAUCAACGCCACAGUGAAACCGUUCAGUGUGUUUGAAGGGUGCGAGCAUCAGGUUGAAGGCAUUCUCUUUGACCUGACCGUGCAGAGCAUCAACGUACUCGUGGGAAUCCCCGCCAACUUAGCGGCCCUCGUGAUCCUCAUCCGCAGCCGUAAGAACCCCUCAACUUCUGACAUCUUCUUG
ensembl:lncRNA